rnacentral:rRNA from 1 species
ACAAUGAAGAGUUUGAUCCUGGCUCAGGAUGAACGCUAGCUACAGGCUUAACACAUGCAAGUCGAGGGGCAGCAUUUUAGUUUGCUUGCAAACUAAAGAUGGCGACCGGCGCACGGGUGAGUAACACGUAUCCAACCUGCCGAUAACUCGGGGAUAGCCUUUCGAAAGAAAGAUUAAUAUCCGAUAGUAUAUUAAAACCGCAUGGUUUUACUAUUAAAGAAUUUCGGUUAUCGAUGGGGAUGCGUUCCAUUAGUUUGUUGGCGGGGUAACGGCCCACCAAGACUACGAUGGAUAGGGGUUCUGAGAGGAAGGUCCCCCACAUUGGAACUGAGACACGGUCCAAACUCCUACGGGAGGCAGCAGUGAGGAAUAUUGGUCAAUGGACGAGAGUCUGAACCAGCCAAGUAGCGUGAAGGAUGACUGCCCUAUGGGUUGUAAACUUCUUUUAUAUGGGAAUAAAGUAUUCCACGUGUGGGAUUUUGUAUGUACCAUAUGAAUAAGGAUCGGCUAACUCCGUGCCAGCAGCCGCGGUAAUACGGAGGAUCCGAGCGUUAUCCGGAUUUAUUGGGUUUAAAGGGAGCGUAGGUGGAUUGUUAAGUCAGUUGUGAAAGUUUGCGGCUCAACCGUAAAAUUGCAGUUGAAACUGGCAGUCUUGAGUACAGUAGAGGUGGGCGGAAUUCGUGGUGUAGCGGUGAAAUGCUUAGAUAUCACGAAGAACUCCGAUUGCGAAGGCAGCUCACUAGACUGCAACUGACACUGAUGCUCGAAAGUGUGGGUAUCAAACAGGAUUAGAUACCCUGGUAGUCCACACAGUAAACGAUGAAUACUCGCUGUUUGCGAUAUACAGUAAGCGGCCAAGCGAAAGCAUUAAGUAUUCCACCUGGGGAGUACGCCGGCAACGGUGAAACUCAAAGGAAUUGACGGGGGCCCGCACAAGCGGAGGAACAUGUGGUUUAAUUCGAUGAUACGCGAGGAACCUUACCCGGGCUUAAAUUGCAUUUGAAUAAUCUGGAAACAGGUUAGCCGCAAGGCAAAUGUGAAGGUGCUGCAUGGUUGUCGUCAGCUCGUGCCGUGAGGUGUCGGCUUAAGUGCCAUAACGAGCGCAACCCUUAUCUUUAGUUACUAACAGGUCAUGCUGAGGACUCUAGAGAGACUGCCGUCGUAAGAUGUGAGGAAGGUGGGGAUGACGUCAAAUCAGCACGGCCCUUACGUCCGGGGCUACACACGUGUUACAAUGGGGGGUACAGAAGGCAGCUACCUGGCGACAGGAUGCUAAUCCCAAAAACCUCUCUCAGUUCGGAUCGAAGUCUGCAACCCGACUUCGUGAAGCUGGAUUCGCUAGUAAUCGCGCAUCAGCCAUGGCGCGGUGAAUACGUUCCCGGGCCUUGUACACACCGCCCGUCAAGCCAUGAAAGCCGGGGGUACCUGAAGUACGUAACCGCAAGGAGCGUCCUAGGGUAAAACUGGUAAUUGGGGCUAAGUCGUAACAAGGUAGCCGUACCGGAAGGUGCGGCUGGAACACCUCCUUU